CUCUCUGCUCUGUACUUUUCCCCUCUCUGGAAUAUGUUGAGGCCUGUUGCUUCAAGCAGUCACGUUUGUUUUUCAUUUGCUGCCUAAUCUGUUCAGAACUUUAAGUAAAUUAAACUUUUUAUUCUUUCUCUUGCAAACGUCUCAGAGUAAAGUUAUUGAGACUGUAAGUGCCGGUUACUGAGAAAAGAGGUGGGCUAAUCAACCGCAGAAGCCUGUGCUGCAGGGCCAGAAGACCAAGCAGUCGUAAGAUCGAAUCCACGCGACGGAGUGAGCUCCCGUCGCUUGUCCCAGCUCCUGAUCUCAGAGUUAAGUUAUCGAGACUGCAAGUGCUGGUUACUGAGAAAAGAGGUGGGCUAAUCUGGAGAACCUGAAGCUAUCCUUCUUUAAAAAUCUCUGCACUGUGUAACUAGAAAAAUUUAACCAAAAAUUCAAAGCUCUCCAACAGGAGCAACUUUUAUCUUCUAAGCAGGGUUUUCUUCAUCCAUUUUUGUAUGGGCAGUCAUGUGAUCUCUGAUCUGGAGAACCUGAAGCUAUCCUGCUUUAAAAAUCUCUGCACUGUGUAACUAGAAGAAUUUAACCGAAAAUUCAAAGCUCUGCAACAGGAGCAACUUUUAUCUUCUAAGCAGGGUUUUCUUCAUCCAUUUUUGUAUGGGCAGUCAUGUGAUCACUGAGUUUAAGACGGGAUUGGAGAGCCUGUAGCAAUCCGGAUAUUACUGGACUGCAACCAAUGGCGGAUUAUCAUGUAGUCGAAAACAAUGGGAAAGUGUCAGACUGGAGAAAGCUGUCUCAAGGGCUCAAAUGUCACCAUGGCAAAUUCAGAAUUCCGGACAUAAUGGCGUUCCACUUGACCCGGAGAUUUCAAGGGUCAUGUUGCUCUGAAGGGAAGAUACUGUGAUGUUAUGGAGGAUGAAUGAAUGUUCUGUGAUCUCAAAAAAUAAAUAAAUAAAAUUAAGAAAUAGUUUAGUCUAC
rnacentral:lncRNA from 1 species